CAUACACGAUAUGCUUCAGCUCAAAUCUCCCCAUGAUUCCACGUUUUUCGUCAGUUCAACCAGUUCCACAAAAUCUGGGAAUAUACUGCAAUGAUCCACGAGAUUUUUCUACGCAUACAAAUCUGCCCACGACUCCAUGAUUCAUCAUAUUCAAUCAAUUCCAAGAGAAAUCGGGAACUAAAAUUCAGAGAGAGAGACGACAGAAGCGGACAGCAGCUGCGUGGAUGGCGACGACUCCUGGCCAUCGCAACAGCCUCACAACCAAGGAACAGCAGCGCAGCAGUGGUGGUAACCGGCGCCAAGGACAGCGGCUGUCUCGACCAACAGCAGCAGCGGUGCCGGCGUCGGGUGCGAACAGCAACCGCUGCGUUCUGACUGAGGGAAAAGAGAGAGGAUGUGAGGCGGCGGAUAGCGGCUGCUCGGCUGAAGGGCGGUGACAGCAGUAGCGAAUGGCGGAGCAGCAACGUUCGUGCUGCAGCGGGGAUCUCAGCGGCUGUCUCGAUCUGGAGCAGCGGCGGCUGACCCGACAGCGACGACGCCGACAGAUCUUGGACAGCAGCGGUGCUGUGGCAGAGAUGAGGGAAAGAUAGGGUGGUGACGGCGACGGCGACGGCGGCGCAACGGAGAGAAGCUAGAGUGAAAGGUGAUGGAGGCGGAAAGCUCACCGCUGUAAUUUCUAUAGUGAUGGCGUGGUUUUGAGCGAAUCGGAGCAGCAACGGAGAGGCAGAAGUACAUGCUGAUUUUGGGGGAAAGAUGGAGGGAUUGAGAGAAGAAGGAAUUUAGAGUUUCAAUUUGGAUAUUCUCUCGAUUCUGAGAUGGGAGAGAUACAUUGUUGUUCCAUAUUUUGAAGAUUGAAGAAGCAAUUGGGAGAGAUACAUACAUGAAUUUUGGAGAUAAGAGGGUGUGGUUUACUUUUCACAAAUGAGUCUCAUUUUUGCUACUGUACAAAAUUAGUGAUUGGGAACGUGACGGUCGGCCUCGAAAAUAAAUGGAAGGGAAGAGAAGAGAAGCAAAGACGCAAGGAAAGGAUUUCUCCGCGUAUUAAUUUGAAGUUGAAGUAAGGAAUUCAAGUUCAGAAAAAUUUAAUUAACGAGGUUGAGCGGUGACUAGCGCGGUGGGUGUUGAGCAUAAAAGUGAAGAAUGUCUGUCAAAUGUCAAGAAUAUGUUGUGUCUUCAUACAUAGCAUUAUUCUACUUUCGAAAUGCUUCCGGUGAGUGUUGUUUCUUUUGAGUUCUUGUAUCGCUGAAAUAUUAUUCA